AGCGAACGUUUGCGGCGGGCUUAACACAUGCAAGUCGAACGAGAAUCCCUUCGGGGGAGGAAAGUGGCGCACGGGUGCGUAACACGUGGAUAACCAACCCAUUGGUUUGGGACAACACCGGGAAACUGGUGCUAAUACCAGAUGUGUCGCAGCUGUCUUCAGGCGGUUGCGAGAAAGGCCCGCAAGGGUCGCCAACGGACGGGUCCGCGUCCCAUCAGCUAGUUGGUGAGGUAAUGGCUCACCAAGGCAAAGACGGGUAGCUGGUCUGAGAGGAUGAUCAGCCACACUGGAACUGAGACACGGUCCAGACUCCUACGGGAGGCAGCAGUGGGGAAUAUUGCGCAAUGGGCGAAAGCCUGAUCCAGCAAUGCCGCGUGAGUGAUGAAGGCCUUAGGGUUGUAAAGCUCUUUUACCAGGGAUGAUAAUGACAGUACCUGGAGAAUAAGCUCCGGCUAACUCCGUGCCAGCAGCCGCGGUAAUGUGUGACUGUC
rnacentral:rRNA from 1 species